UACAGAGGGGGCAAGCGUUGUUCGGAAUUACUGGGCGUAAAGGGCGCGUAGGCGGCCUUCUAAGUCGAACGUGAAAUCCCUGGGCUUAACCCAGGAACUGCGUCCGAUACUGGAAGGCUUGAAUCCGGGAGAGGGAUGCGGAAUUCCAGGUGUAGCGGUGAAAUGCGUAGAUAUCUGGAGGAACACCGGUGGCGAAGGCGGCAUCCUGGACCGGCAUUGACGCUGAGGCGCGAAAGCGUGGGGAGCAAACAGG
rnacentral:rRNA from 1 species